GAUGAAGAACGUAGCGAAAUGCGAUAAGUAGUGUGAAUUGCAGAAUUCAGUGAAUCAUCGAGUCUUUGAACGCACAUUGCGCCCCCUGGUAUUCCGGGGGGCAUGCCUGUCCGAGCGUCAUUGCUGCCCUCAAGCACGGCUUGUGUGUUGGGCCUCCGUCCUCCUCCCGGGGGACGGGCCCGAAAGGCAGCGGCGGCACCGCGUCCGGUCCUCGAGCGUAUGGGGCUUCGUCACCCGCUCUUGUAGGCCCGGCCGGCGCUUGCCGACACAUCAAUCUUUUUUCCAGGUUGACCUCGGACCAGGUAGGGAUACCCGCUGAACUUAAGCAUAUCAAUAAGCGGAGGA
rnacentral:misc_RNA from 1 species